rnacentral:rRNA from 1 species
GAUGAACGCUAGCUACAGGCUUAACACGUGCAAGUCGAGGGGAAACGACAUCGAAAGCUUGCUUUUGAUGGGCGUCGACCGGCGCACGGGUGAGUAACGCGUAUCCAACCUGCCCAUCACUUGGGAAUAACCUUGCGAAAGUAAGACUAAUACCCAAUGACAUCCCACGAAGACAUCUGAAUGGGAUUAAAGAUUUAUCGGUGAUGGAUGGGGAUGCGUCUGAUUAGCUUGUUGGCGGGGUAACGGCCCACCAAGGCAACGAUCAGUAGGGGUUCUGAGAGGAAGGUCCCCCACAUUGGAACUGAGACACGGUCCAAACUCCUACGGGAGGCAGCAGUGAGGAAUAUUGGUCAAUGGGCGAGAGCCUGAACCAGCCAAGUAGCGUGCAGGAUGACGGCCCUAUGGGUUGUAAACUGCUUUUAUAAGGGAAUAAAGUGGGUCUCGUGAGACUUUUUGCAUGUACCUUAUGAAUAAGGACCGGCUAAGUCCGUG